GACGAACCGUGCGAACGUUGUUCGGAAUCAUUGGGCGUAAAGGGCGCGUAGGCGGGCUGGCCAGUCCGGGGUGAAAGCCCACGGCUCAACCGUGGAAGUGCCUUGGAUACUGCCAGUCUCGAGGGAGGUAGGGGCGUGCGGAACUUCCGGUGGAGCGGUGAAAUGCGUAGAUAUCGGAAGGAACACCGGUGGCGAAAGCGGCGCGCUGGACCUCUUCUGACGCUGAGGCGCGAAAGCCAGGGGAGCAAACGGG
rnacentral:rRNA from 1 species